GGAUGCGAUCAUACCAGCACUAAAGCACCGGAUCCCAUCAGAACUCCGAAGUUAAGCGUGCUUGGGCGAGGUUAGUACUAGGAUGGGUGACCUCCUGGGAAGUCCUCGUGUUGCAUUCC
rnacentral:rRNA from 1 species